GAGUUCAAGCCUCAUGGAAGCAGAAAUAGAGAGGGACAAACAAGCAAGUGGACGAGGAAUCUAAUCCGGUUUGGUGAAAUAGCUGAAUGGGCCAGGGAAUAACAGCCUCAGUAGAGGAAACUGACAGAUGCAAAAUAUAGUUCUCAACGGAUCACACUGAUAACCUUUUUGUGGGUUUUCACUGGAUUUAGUGUUCUACGUUGUUUUAUGAUGCACAUGUCAGAAAAAGUUAUAGUCUCUUUUUGUUCAGGAAGAAAUAUGUUUCCCUUUCUCUAAGGGUCAAACUAGACGUGGCUUUAAAUGUGUCUUUGAAUCUCAUGCUUGAAGGUGACUUGGACAAAUGGCUACACUUUUCUGGGUCAAUUUUCUAGUUCGUAAGAGAGAGCAUUACUGAUCAGUCAGUCCUUGGGAAGCACUGCAACAGGCCCUUCCUGCAGCAUGUGCUUGUGAGCAGAGGGAGUUGGGAAGUAUAUGCCCUGUAGUCUUUUCCACUGUUCUUGCUCAAUCACUGCGGUUCUGCUGACACUUUCCCAGGCCCAGUCUGCACUCCAGGCUGCUGAUCACAGAAACAGAUGUGACUAUACUUAUGGCAUUUGCUUCUUCAGACAAACACCCAUAACUGUGAAGAGCGCAAGCUAGGGGAGGCUGAGUGGAGUGCUGACAGGAACUUACUAUGGAGAAGAGGAAUGGAGAAGAAAAUAGACUUGGAGAGAAGUAUGUUUUUUUUCUUUUUUCUUUUGAUUCCGUGUUUUUAUUUUUUGUUUUGCAAGGCCACACAUUUAACCGGGAUACGUAUGUCUUACAAAGCCCUGCGUGGAAAAAUUCUGCUUACCUGCUUGCUGGGAGGCUCGACUCUAGAAGACUUUGCUUUGAACUAACAGUUUCAUUUACAAUUCCUUCUGUUUGCACGGCUGACAAAGUGUUUUAUGGCUGAACAAUCACCUUUUUGCCACUAAUUAUCUAAGCUCUGAUGGGGGAAAUGAAAGUGUUGGGAAAAUAGUUUGCUUCUUUCAUGCCAAGACUCUGACUUUAUCUUGAAGAAUUCCCAUACAUAUCACUUGGCUGAGCUGGAGCGGUGAAGAUUCCUCAUUCCUCUCAUUCCUCAUUACUUUCACUUUUACUGAAUGUUGAUCUCGUUAAAGACAGGCUGGGCUAAUUGGUAUGGGGAGAGACUGUUAAGAUGUGUUUUACUAUGAGAUAAAUUCAGAAGAUUCUACCAGAACGGACCUGAAAGUUUUAACUUUAUUUGAAAGUUUACUUGCCUCAGUUGUUUACUCUUGGAAGAAACCUGAUAACCGUUUGUUUUAGCCUCAGAAGUUAAUUCCGGCAUUGCUUAGUCUCUCCCCUAUGAGAGAAUGUCCUUGGACAUUGUUUCAAAGAUUUCAAAUUAACCAUUUGUGGUGUGAGUGGGAAGAUUCUCAAAGCCUUAAGAUUUUAAUGCUGGUUUCUCCCUUUUUUCCUAUCUAUUUAAAGGUUCUAACUUUGAGUAUAAGUACAUAUUAUACCUCUUUAAUUGGCCCUUCAAUGUAUUCCCUGUGUUUAAUGUAUUCUUCAUCAAAUAUUUAGGGAGUUCCACAUAGGGUGCAAUACUGAAAUAACCCCAAUGUUCAAAGUCUUAACCUAAAGAAUUAAUACAUACCAUUAGAAAAGAAACUGAAAUAUAUGUGAAUAUUUAGGGUAUUACAUUAGGAUAGUAACUUUGAGUAUAGCUUAAUAUUAAGCCUUAUUACUUAGUCUUUCAAGGUGUUCCCUGUGUUAACUGCCUUUCUUAUUUCAACCAUCAAUAUUUAGGGAGUUAUAAAUAAGGUUUAAUAUGGGUAUCAAUCUAAUCAGGAACUUAGUGGCAUUAUGAUUUCCUUGGGUUUCAAAGACCCAAGGAAAUGUCACAUAUAUCUGCUUUUGGUUCUUUUUGUUUGUUUGUUUUCUUGCUCUCUACGGAAGAAAUGAGAAUGCAUUGGGAAUGGAGGAUUCAGGGAAGAACUGAGAAUAUUUUUGUAAACUUAAUUCUUAGAAGCAAAUUGACAGAAUAGAGCAAAUAUUUUUAAACAUAUGGCACAAGACUACCGGCUAUACCCUAUAAUAUGACAUUAUAUAUUCUGAAAGGAUAUGAAUGACAAGCAGUUGAAGAUUAUGCUCUCUCUUUUCUUAGCUCCAGUUUAUUAUUCCCCUUUCCCCCCAUUAUGGGCUUUUGUUAACCGUUAUGAAUAUUUUAUAAUAACACUUUGACAAGUUUAGCUUGACGCAAACAAUUGGAAGUAAACUGCGAAGGAUUAGACAUCUGUAUAGAGGGGUUAUCUCACUGCUAAAGUUUGACAGUUUAUGCUACCAGCUGUAGGUUAUAAAGAUCAGUCAGGGCUGAAUUUAGUCUCCCUCCAUUUAUCUCUCCGGCUUGUUUGUUUGUCUUUCAUUACAUGAGGAGGGGGACUAUUAGAGGUUUGGCUGAUCUUUGUUAAUUAUUUUACUAUGGUUUUUUGAAUACUAGUCUGUAAUGAGAUGGGAUACUUGUACGUUGGUGGACAUGUGGCCUUGUAUUUACAACACGCGUACUACUUUUGUCAUGGCAGAAUUCGUAUUUCAGGUAUUAUUCUCUUCUCCAUUGAAUAUUCCUGUUGGAAAUCAUUUUGUAUGCACAGUUGUCUAAUAAUUAAUUGAAUCCAGAGUGAGUGUUCCGUGAGAGUUUUAAAUCCUAUUCUCUCUGACGAGUAGAUUUAUAGAUGAGCCCAUAGAUGCCAAUAAGUUUUUUCUGUACUGCUGUUUUUUGAACUUCCCAUGGAUUCUUCAGCAGGUAGCUGAAUUGUCUUUGGAGGAGAGAGCCAGUAUGAAGGGGUUGGUGAGAUUUAGGGCGUGAUUUGAGCGCAGAGAAACGCAUAACCAAUUUAUGUUUGGCCUGACAGUUCUUUCCUUAUUGUAUUGAAAUUAUAACAAUAUAAUCGGCACUGAAGCACAUUUAAAACUACAUACCAGGACAUAUUUGAGACACAUAUCUGAGGUACAUUUAAAAAUACACAUAUAGGUGGAGCUCACGCCACAGAGUAUUGGGGACAUCUGGCUCUGCACUCGAAUUACUGGUAUUAUUUCUAUUUUGUACGUCAUAGUUGGGCUGGGUCCCUCCUCCUUAGAUUACCUGACAGUAGGAUGAUCAACCAGGUCUGGGCUGUUUUUUUCCUCCCUUUCCCCCCCUUUAGGGUUAGGGUUCAAGACUCUUAUAAACUGGGCAACCCGAUUAGAUCACUGCAAAGACAACAUAUGGCAGGGCAGUGAUACCCGGGAUCGGGUUUAAAAGGCAGUCCCACCCAGGAGUUAUUGAAUGGCUCUGCUCUAUUUUUUGUACAAUAAAGUUGGGAGAGGGGGCCCAGCUCCUUCCCCUUGGGUAAAAGCAUGCUGUCUCUGGCGUUACUCAUGAGAAGAUCUGUCUAGCAGGAGCAGUAUUGCCUUCAGUCACAGGAGAGAUUCCUGCUGUGUGAUGAUGAUGGAUGCUGCUCCAGAGUGGACCACUCUCUCAUGAGAGUGAAAAGGUCAUGGAGACACACAAGCAGACCAGAUGGCAGCUGCUGCCCCACCUGAUUGCUUGACAUAAGCAACCUGUGGGGACAGGAACCCCAGCAACACCUUUCCCUGUCAUGGUGACUGCCACAAAGAAGCAAUCCAAGCAGGCCCCUUUGCCACUCCGGUUGUCCAUUGGCACACAUCCAUGUUAGUUUUUGCCUGGCACUCUGACCCUACUUUACUGGGAUCAUUGAUAACUGGGGCUCCCUUCUCCUGCAAUUCCCAUGGUGGCUGAUCUGCAUACUCCACAACACCAGUCCAAACCUGGGAAAUUUGAAUGAGAGUAAAGAUCUAUCCCUGAUCCCGGUGUUUCCCAAGUCUGUCCACCCUGUACCGCCUGGACACAUGGAGCAGCCGCUACUCCUUGGGAGUAUGAAAGGGCUGACUGGAAAGGAGGAGAUCAUGGUGUACAAGUUGUAUUACUUACUAGAGAGAACAGGGGCCCCACACAAGUGGGGGGCCCUUGAUUUGGGUGGCCUAACUCAUGAGAGCACAGCCCAACAGAGGACCGAAGGUCUUGGGGCCUCUGGUCUUCUGCAGUGGACUGGCCCUCUCAUGAGAUGAUUAAUUCCCAGGCAGCAGGACAAUCCAAGGGCAGGAGUGUGCUUGGGUGUUCCUUGACUGCUUAGCCAGGGCUGGCCAUCACAAGAGCAUCCCUGGUCACAGUGGACCCAACUCCAGGAUUCUUUGCCCUCCCUCAUAUACAUAUUCCCUCCUAGGAAGUCAUCAUGAUCCUUUCCUAGAAUAACAAAAAAAAUAGUGCCCCUCUGCAUCCCCCUGUAGCCAGAAAUUGUGCUUGUGCAAGACUGUCUUGGUCCAGGGCUGUUACGAAGGUAGCAGUGCAGCUGAUGUCAGGAGAAAGGCAUGCAUGCAAUUUAAAGGGAUUCAAAUGCUUUUCCCCUGCGCCUAGGGUGAGCGGGCAGGAGGUCAAUUCAGAAAGGGCAUGAUCGCGCUUGGCACGCCCGAUUGAAGAUCGUGGCCAAUGGCUACCUCUCUGCCGACAUUCUGAUGGCUUGCCCACAGCCUGACGAUGCAAACGCUACAGAGCUUGCUGGGAUGCAGCCUCGGCAGAAGAGAGAGUAGUUAUAAUCUAAGUGUGCUGCACAAAUCUAGUUCCUCUGCCCUGAAACCAGAGGUUGCCAGACUAUGGUAGGAUGAACAUAUGUGAUGUGAUUCACGGUUACAAAAAUUAACCUCCGGUUUAUUUACCCAUGGUUUGCCGUUACGUGCGAAUGCGGCCCUAGUUGGAAAACAAACCGUCCAGUUUGUUAAUGGUUUGCUUCAGCAGACAGGGAGGCUCUCCACACAAGCAGUGUGGAGAGCCUUACCAGGCUCUCCUCUGAGGUGAGCAGUCACUUGUUGCUGGGCAGUCGGAUCAGCUGCCCACACAACUAUCAGCUCUGUCACAGAGCUGGUAGGGGCUGCAGGGAUCAGGGGCUACUUGGACCCCGGAAGUCCCAGGAUGCCCUGAGACUGGGAGUCCCAGGAGACCCCUGAGACCAGGAAGCUUGUUUUAGCCUCCUGGAGGGGGUCUCCUCAUGAGUCGCUGCGGCACAGAGUUGCGCCAUGGCAACUCAUGAUCAGGAAAACAGGGUUAGUGGAGCACUCGCUCCACUAAUCCCAUUUAAGAGGAGGGCUUCUUUGGUGGGGUAGCCACCAGAGUACCACUGGGCUCGCCCGGGGAUUCUCACGAUGGGUGGAAACCGAGCUGUUUCCCCCAUCGUGAUAAUAGCCUCUGAGUUAGAACAAACAAAAGUUCAGAUUGUGUGUAUAACAAGCAUGGACCCACAACAAAACGUUGCAGUAUAUUCCUCAUGUGCAUGAGUUAUUUGAGCUUGUGCCUGAGCAUGGUUAAAGUUGUAGGCACCUUCCCUCCUCAGAAACAGAAAAAGUUGUGACUGUCAGUACCUCUUUCUCACCCACAGGUGUUCCAUUUAUGUGUCCAUAAGGAUAACAACAUUUCCAGCUCAUUCAGAAAUAGACAGCUGGGGAAAUAUUGUUGAAAAUGGAAGCUUUCUCCUUCACUGAUACAUGAGAGUGAAGGGACCACGCAAGCCCACGGCUCUUUCAGGCUCAUUCACAUCGCACAAAAUUCCAGGCAUUGUUUAGCAUUACAUCUGAACUGGGCCUAUGAGCAUUUCAGAACCGAAAUCACAUUGUGUUAUGUUGGGUACCCCUAAGUAGCUAGCACUACCACAAUGCCAUGACAGGAUGUAAUGAUCUACCUCAUUUAGCCCAGCUCUGAUGCAAAUACAUAAUUCUUGCAGCUAUUUUGUUAAAACAAUUAUGUUAAAAAAAAUCCUAACAGUAAUAAAAUUCAGUGAUAGGAAAUACCUAUAUCAGCAACUUUGUUUUCUAAUUUGCACAGAUCUGUGACAGACUGAGACGGAAAAAUACUGGUCUAUUAGAAAAUUAAAAUAUUAUCUUCUUUAA